GUGGGUGUGCCAGAGUGGUUAUUGGGCAUACAUGACUAGAAAUCAUGUGGGUUUUGCUCGCGCAGGUUUGAAUCCUGUCGCUCACG
rnacentral:tRNA from 1 species